GGGCUUGUGGUUUAGUGGUAUAAUUUUCCCUUAGCAAAUCAGAGCGCAUCAUUCGUUUGAUUUCCUGAAAUGGGAAAGGUCCUGGGUUCGAUUCCCAGCAAGUCCA